rnacentral:rRNA from 1 species
UUUAAUUGAAGAGUUUGAUCAUGGCUCAGAUUGAACGCUGGCGGCAGGCCUAACACAUGCAAGUCGAGCGGCAGCGGGAGGAAGCUUGCUUCCUCGCCGGCGAGCGGCGGACGGGUGAGUAAUGUCUGGGAA